CCGCAUUUCUGUAACAGAAGAGUCACAAUAAGCUGCAAUCUGUUCAUGUGAACCUUGUCAAAAUUAUUAUCAGCUUGUCAGUGAAGAGCUAUCCUUCAUUCGUAAGGAGCAGGUGUGAGUUUCUGAAAUUAUUGGCUACCGCUCGUGUUCUCCUUGUGUCACGCUACGUUGUGAGUCUGACAGUACGAGGCAUGUUUUGCCAGCAGCCUGGUUCUGAAAAGCAAGCAGCAGAUUUCAUUUACAGCCAGGAUCUAAUACAGCUAGGCUUCUGACGGAGAAAAUUGCAGGAGGCUUCUUCUCCUAUACUCUGCCCAGCCGCAGCACAGGAGGAAAGCAGCCAGACGUGGCCGCGCUGCUCUUGGGUUCUUCUACAGCGAUGCGUCGGCAGGCGACCGGCUGCUGCAGUGCUUCUACUACACCUCCUGGUGCGUUUAUAUAUGUUGUGUAGGUUUGCAUUGGGUAGAAGUUCUUUGUCUGUAAUUGUGGUUUGAUUUGAUACUAAAUCGUGUGUAAGUGUGCCUUUUUUUUUCUUGCGGAAGUGUGUAAUUGUGUCUGCAAGUGAAAUCAUCUUGAGCAUGAUAGAGAUAAAUAGCUUACAGAAAUCUAAUGGUACUCCUCCAUUUAAAGCAGACAUAUAUAGUCAGGACUUGACAUCAGGAUCGAUCACACCCGUAUCCGUAUCAAAAAUUCCAAGAUGGGAUGUGAUUUGAUA